UAAUGGGUGUAAACGUUUAUAAAAAGAUCAUACAAUUUUCAAUUUGUUACAUGCUAAAAGGAAAAAGUAUGACUAAACUUAUAUGUUGUGUUUAUGUUAUAAUCCUCUUUCUUUCUGUAUUACUUGCUGUUAGUGCUGAUUUUUGUGAGGAACACUAUGAUUGCAUAUAUAAGGAGUGUUCUCAUAGUUUUGCGAAGUGCAUUUAUAAUAAGUGCCAAUGCAUGUAGUGAAUCAACUCAAAAGCAUAUUAAUUAUAUCAUGCAAAUGUGAUGACGAUAAAUCAAGAGCAUGGAAAGAAUUCAUAUUUUAAAUAUAUUAGAAUGGACUUUACUUUUUAUUUUAAUGUGGUUGUAAUAAUUCUUAGUUUGUUUUUAAUUUAGUUGAUGUCAUGUGAAAGUGAAAGAACAUUGAUUCAUUAUAUUUAGUUUAUUUUAGAAAAAGAUAUGUAUGUCCAAUAUGAGACUAUAAUGGUGUCACUUAUGACCUAUUUAAAUUUAUGGUAAAUUUUGCAUUAAGUAA